CCCGUACGAUCACCGAAGUUAAGCAACUUCGAGCCUGGUCAGUACCUUGAUGCGUGACUGCUCGGGAAUGCCAGGUGCUGUCU